rnacentral:rRNA from 1 species
UACGUAGGGUGCAAGCGUUAAUCGGAAUUACUGGGCGUAAAGCGUGCGCAGGCGGCUAUGCAAGUCAGAUGUGAAAUCCCCGGGCUCAACCUGGGAACUGCAUUUGUGACUGCAUGGCUAGAGUACGGCAGAGGGGGAUGGAAUUCCGCGUGUAGCAGUGAAAUGCGUAGAUAUGCGGAGGAACACCGAUGGCGAAGGCAAUCCCCUGGGCCUGUACUGACGCUCAUGCACGAAAGCUAGGGGAGCAAACGGG